UCUGUACAACAUGGUGGCUUCAAGGCAACAGCUGGCUGCAUGGACAUGUCUUUUUACAGGGAACAGACAGUUAAAGACCAGCAAGAACAUUCCUGUAGCCUUCACCUCAUUCACUGAUAUGUAAAACAUGGGAUGUGGCAAGUUUUGGGACAAUACAAGUGGGACAAUACACAGCCAGAGAUGGGACGGCAAUCUUGAGGAUGGAGGUCCAACAUGAUUUGAUAUUCUUCUAAGCAGAGGCCGGGGGAAGUUACAUACAGAGAAUUCUGGAGAUUUUCAAGAGUGGAUGCAGCUGGCAGAAGAAAGGGAUUAGAUUUAUCAAAUAUUUUGACUUUCAUCAUUGGACUGAUGGACAUGCAGCUUCUGGGGUUAUGGC